rnacentral:rRNA from 1 species
CUGACCUCAAAUCAGGUGGGACUACCCGCUGAACUUAAGCAUAUC